rnacentral:rRNA from 1 species
CCUACGGGAGGCUGCCGUCGAGAAUCAUUCACAAUGGGGGAAACCCUGAUGGUGCGACGCCGCGUGGGGGAAUGAAGGUCUUCGGAUUGUAAACCCCUGUCAUGUGGGAGCAAAUUAAAAAGAUAGUACCACAAGAGGAAGAGACGGCUAACUCUGUGCCAGCAGCCGCGGUAAUACAGAGGUCUCAAGCGUUGUUCGGAAUCACUGGGCGGAAAGCGUGCGUAGGCUGUUUCGUAAGUCGUGUGUGAAAGGCGCGGGCUCAACCCGCGGACGGCACAUGAUACUGCGAGACUAGAGUAAUGGAGGGGGAACCGGAAUUCUCGGUGUAGCAGUGAAAUGCGUAGAUAUCGAGAGGAACACUCGUGGCGAAGGCGGGUUCCUGGACAUUAACUGACGCUGAGGCACGAAGGCCAGGGGAGCGAAAGGGAUUAGAUACCCGGGUAGUC